UAGGGAAUUUUGCGCAAUGGACGAAAGUCUGACGCAGCAACGCCGCGUGAGCGAUGAAGGUCUUCGGAUUGUAAAGCUCUGUUGGAUGGGAAGAAUGAUCCUUGUGAUAAUACCACAAGGAUGUGACGGUACCAUUCGAGGAAGCCCCGGCUAACUACGUGCCAGCAGCCGCGGUAAUACGUAGGGGGCAAGCGUUGUUCGGAAUUACUGGGCGUAAAGGGAGCGUAGGCGGAAGGGUAAGUUGGGUGUGAAAUCCACAGGCACAACCUGUGGUUUGCUUUCAAUACUGCCUUUCUUGAGUAUUGGAGAGGGAGAUGGAAUUCCAGGUGUAGCGGUGGAAUGCGUAGAUAUCUGGAAGAACACCAGUUGCGAAGGCGGUCUCCUGGACAAAUACUGACGCUGAGGCUCGAAAGCUAGGGGAGCAAACAGG
rnacentral:rRNA from 1 species